UCACUUCGGCAGCACAUAUACUAAAAUUGGAAUGAUACAGAGAAGAUUAGCAUGGCCCCUGCGCAAGGAUGACACGCAAAUGAUGUGAUUUUAAAAACACAAAU
ensembl:snRNA U6 U6 spliceosomal RNA